AAGGGCGCAGGCCCACACUCAUCAGGACCCAACUCCUGCUAACAGAAUCCAAGAUCCAAUGGAAAAAAUGGAGGUGCCAAGAGAUAAAUGCUUAGGGCUUAUGCCCACACGGCCAAAGCAUCACCCUAUGGUACUCGAAUCCAACGCUUCUUUCAGCAAUAUCCAAGCCUUGCCACAUUUGACUCUUAGUCGCGAUGCAGAGCUUCAGGCUUCAAAAAGAAUUCCACAACUUCGCAACAUCGGAGAUGAACCACGCGGUAAAUAAAACGACGGACGUGACGAAUUUGGCUUCCCAUCAUCAACCUUCGUGAAUCGCUCCCACCUCCUCUUCUUGCUCUGUAUUAUUAUUCCGUUUUCUGUGUAUUGUUGUUUGUUGAUGAUAAUCGCAAUGUAGAGUGAUUCUGUGAGGUUUGAAGAGCUUGGUUCGUGGAAAUUCGAAUGGAGCGGAUGGUGGUGAAACGCGAGAAUCUCGGAAAUGUGUGGAGGAUGAAUAUUUGCAAAAGGUGAAGAAGAAGUGAUGCAGGCUGAAAAUCUCUGUUGCAGAGGAUUGAAGCUUUGCAGAAUGGAGGAUGAGUACGGGAUGAAAGAGAUGGAUCGUGCCAAGGAUCGAAAGUAAGUCUGUUGUGAAGAGAAGUUCAGAAUGAAAAAUCGAUCCCCAGAAUGAAAGGUGAAGCAUCAAUUUCUAGAGGGAGAAAUUUUGUUUUGAAAUUCACCCCAAAUCCACAUGAAAUUCAAGCUGACUCAGGUUGAUGCAGGCUGAAGUUGUUAUGGCUGCAAGUUGAUGUUUGAUUUGGUUGGGAUCUUGGAGUCUGCUAUGAGCAAUGGUUCACAUGAUGACCAACAUGAUUGUUAGUAAUUGAUGUUUGUGUGUGGACUUGGAAAGUCGUGAAGAAACAAGAAUAUAGCAUGUAAUAUGAUGUAUGGAACCUUGACACUUUGUAUGCCACAUGUAAUGAAUUAUAUGAACAUGUACACAUGUAAUGCCAUAUUUUCUUAAUGCAAAACUUCAUGGAUGAAUGCUUGUAUGGUUGCUUGUAGUAUGACGAAUGAAAAUGAAGUUUAGGACC